UACGUAGGGUGCAAGCGUUGCUCGGAAUCAUUGGGCGUAAAGCGCGCGUAGGCGGCCUCCUAAGUCUGGUGUGAAAUCCCGGAGCUUAACUCCGGAAGUGCACUGGAUACUGGGUGGCUAGAGGGUGAAAGAGGAAAGUGGAAUUCCUGGUGUAGGGGUGAAAUCCGUAGAUAUCAGGAGGAACAUCGGUGGCGAAGGCGGCUUUCUGGUUCACUACUGACGCUAAGGCGCGAAAGCGUGGGGAGCAAACAGG
rnacentral:rRNA from 1 species